rnacentral:rRNA from 1 species
AUUGAACGCUGGCGGCAGGCCUAACACAUGCAAGUCGAGCGACCGGCGGACGGGUGAUGAAUGUCUGAGCAACUGCCUACUGGAGGGGGAUAACUACUGGAAACUGUAGCUAAUACCGACUACCAUCAGGUGUGCCCUGAUGCGAUUAGCUAGUAGGUGGGUUAAUGGCUCACCUAGGCGACGAUCCCUAGCUGGACUGAGAGGAUGACCAGCCACUCGGGAAAUGGGAUAAGGUCCAGCACCCGACGGGAGGCAGGAGCGGGGAACAUUGCAGAAGGGGCGGAAGCCUGAAGCAGCCAUGGGGGGUGUGCGAGGAAGGCCUUCGGGUGGUAAAGCACUUCAAUCGAGGAGGCGGUACUUACAGAAGAAGCACCGGCUAACUCCGUGCCAGCAGCCGCGGUAAUUC